rnacentral:rRNA from 1 species
AGGAUGAACGCUGGCGGCGUGCCUAAGACAUGCAAGUCGUGCGGUAACAGGCCCUUCGGGGUGCUGACGAGCGGCGGACGGCUGAGUAACGCGUGGGAAUCUACCCCAAAGUGAGGGAUAACUGCCCGAAAGGGUGGCUAAUACCGCAUGUGAUCUUCGGAUUAAAGCUAUUAGCGCUUUGGGAAGAGCCCGCGUCAGAUUAGUUAGUUGGUGAGGUAAUGGCUCACCAAGACGAUGAUCUGUAACUGGUUUGAGAGGAUGAUCAGUCAGACUGGAACUGAGAUACGGUCCAGACUCCUACGGGAGGCAGCAGUUAGGAAUAUUCCACAAUGGGCGAAAGCCUGAUGGAGCAACGCCGCGUGGAGGAUGAAGGCCUUAGGGUCGUAAACGUUCUUUUCUAUGUCGAAGAAUAUGAACGGUUAACAGUUAAGGAAAUAAGGGUUACUAGGCUAACUACGUGACCAGCAGCCGC